CAAGGACUUUAGAGUUUCAUAUCUUUGUAACUGUCAUUUUAGUAGUUCCACUAAAGAAGGGUCUCUGGAAAAUUUUGGAGCACCUGCUCUCUCAAACCAGAGGAUGGUUUCUGUCAGAGCAGUCACUGCUGUGACCUCCAGAUACAGGUUAUAAAAGACCAACUUCCCAAUACAUGGAUAAUACACCUUAAAUUCAAUUGCAGGGGUGGGAGGAGUUACAUGGGAUAGAACAUAGGCUGACACAGACUCCAGCAAACUGUAACUGCACCACCUGGAUGAUGGAACCUCCUCCGACCUGCCAGGAGGUAGACAGCUGACAAUUCAGCCUCAAAAAGCAUCUUAUUCCUUGAAGAAGCUGAGAUAUGUUCAAGGAACAUUCAACAAAAUAUCAGAAAUCCAGACUCUGCUCUCAAAAGGUCAUUUAUGUUUUGAGGAAAC
rnacentral:lncRNA from 1 species